rnacentral:lncRNA from 1 species
GGAUGCUCUCUUGUUCAGUUUCCUUCUCCGUGCCACACUUUAAAGUCUCUCCUGUUAGACACCCCGUGCCCAGACCCCAAUAGUGAAUUACUAUCCCACGUGGCUCUUUUCCUUUUUUGAAAUGAGCUCCUCAUGCAAGCAGUUUCAAGAUAGCCUAAGAACUUCUUUUAUCUGCCUCCCAUAAAGACCCACAGUGACCAGAAUAUGCAGAGAUCACUACAAUUCAAAAUAAUACUUUGAAAGUAAGUUUCUUUCCCUGUAAACUGGAUGGAGAGCCAUCCACAGCUCCCAUGAUAACUUUAAGUCACAGAUGAACAGAUCUAAGUGCUGGUAGAACUAUGGCCUUUUACAUGCAAAAGGCAGGUAUGGGUCUGGAAGCAUUCUCCCACUCCAUAUAGAUGAGCAUUUUGAUACUCAGAAAGACUAAGGGAACAGAAGAAAGAAGGACCUGUCCUUCCUUACCUACCACAAACCUUCAUGACUUUUCCCCAGACUUUAUUUGAUCAGACAUACUGAUCCUCGGUAUGAAUGUAGCUCCAGGCCCUUGCUGUCUAGACAGCCAAUGAAUUCCCUGGAGCAUGGAAAAGAAAACUCCCUGUGCACCAGAGUUUCAAGAAGUAGUACCACUUUGGUACACUCCCUAAUGGGCAAGCAUGACUUUCCUUUCUAGAAACUGGUUACCAAGAGUAAACAUGCAGCUAUUCAUCCAUCUUGAGCCUCAGGCCCACAGACCUCCCUUCCCUUCAUAUAUCAAACCCACUGUUCCACUUAGAGAAGGCAAUAGGGCCUAAUGUCCUACUAGAUGGAAAGCUUAGCCUUGGGGAAAGACUUGGUAGCUCAAGCUGGCUUCCAGUUUGAUGAGAUGAUAGAAUUGAAAAAGAACUUGUGUCCAUGUAGCUUUUGGUAGUGAACUGAAUCUCUGAUCCCCUUCUUCUCUAGAUUCUUCCACAAAUUUUCUAGGAGCCUUGCUCAGGCAUGGAAAUCUCUUCAUACUGUAUCCUAGAAAAGGAGGUACAUGCAUGUCUAAUAGGUCCCAGUGCUUUAGUAGAUCCUCUACAGUAGCUCUGCCAUCCACUCAAAAGAGCGCUAAGGAAGAUGGGAAGAAGGAGUAGUAAUGGAGGGAGACUGUAUUGAACAUUGGUCCAAAUUCCCAGUGCCAAAGGUCUCUAUCUGUGAUCUUUUAUUUUUCUUUUUUAAUUUUAAAACAUUGGUUUCAGCUUUAAUCAGAAUUGAUAUGGCCAUUUUUAUUACAGCAAUAUUUCAUUUAUUAUUUAAACUACUUGAAAAGCGUGUGUUUAUCUAAGACUUCUAAGUGGUAUAGACUUCAUGUACUGUCACAGGAUUUGAGGAAAGAAAAUCGUGUGUGUGUGUGUGUGUGUGUGUGUGUGUGUGUGUGUGUGUGUGUUGCUGUUAGUACAUCGUUAGUACUCUUGUCACCUCAGAUUGAGGUUGUGCACUUUAUAUUGAAUUGUGUGGUGUUGCAAAUCAACAUGUGUUGCUGUAAAAGCUUGCACAAUGUAUUAUCAGUGUGUCUUCUUCUAUGUGGUAGCUGUAUUGAACUUUGAACUUUGAGAUUAUGAGAACUACAUUCGCAUCCAUUCCUGUCCUUGCCUCUCUUCUCCCUCACCCUCUCACCGGGUCCCAGGCUAUGUGCCCUCUCCAUCGGCUCUUAGAGAGAACAUAACCUCAGCUAAGCCCCACCCUAAGAAAUCUCUUUGAUAACUGUGUGAUCACACACAAAAUGCAAAGUAAACACUGGUUCAUCUCUGAGGCCAGAGAAACCAAUUACAGAAUGUCUCAGGCUGCUCACAGGGCAGGUGUUGAUUCCGCAGGGUCUUGGAGCAGGUGCUGCUCCUCAGAACAUGGACAAAGGAUGCACAGCUGUAAAUAUAGUAACAGGACAAAGAAGCAAAAACAUCCAACCAGGUAUCAUCUUGCACGUGCUUUUCUGUUUUCAAGUGCUAAAUGCAAACACUGUGUAUUAAUUAGUUGUGUGUGCCAAGAUCUUGUUGCCAAAUGGUAUUUCUGAAUAAUGUCAACAUUUCCCAGCACCCCUCCAUUAACUAAAGACAGAAAAAAAAUUACAAACGUGGCAACCUGUUCUUCCUACCAAAUAUAAACUUGUGUAUGAUCAAAGUAUUUUACCUGUGUUUUCUCUCUAAACCUAAAUAAAUGUGUAAAUGUAG